rnacentral:rRNA from 1 species
AAUCAACGCUGGCGGCGUGCCUAACACAUGCAAGUCGAACGCGAAAGGGGCUUCGGCCCUGAGUAGAGUGGCGAACGGGUGAGUAACACGUGGGUGAUCUACCUUCGAGUGGGGGAUAACGUCCCGAAAGGGACGCUAAUACCGCAUGACGUUCUGGGUUUAAAGACCUGGAAACCAAAGCCGGGGACCGCAAGGCCUGGCGCUUGAAGAGGAGCCCGCGUCCGAUUAGCUAGUUGGCGGGGUAAUGGCCCACCAAGGCGACGAUCGGUAGCCGGCCUGAGAGGGCGGACGGCCACACUGGAACUGAGACACGGUCCAGACUCCUACGGGAGGCAGCAGUGGGGAAUUGUUCACAAUGGGCGCAAGCCUGAUGACGCAACGCCGCGUGGGGGAUGAAGGUCUUCGGAUUGUAAACCCCUGUCGAACGGGACGAAAGACUCGAGAGCUAAUCAUCUCGGGAGUGACGGUACCGUUAAAGGAAGCCACGGCUAACUCUGUGC